rnacentral:lncRNA from 1 species
UCUGAGAUCGGCCCUCGUGGUCUCUGAGCAGCCCAGCUUUUGAGAAAGCGAGCGCCUCUUCGAUUGAUUCGGAGAACGAUGCCUCAUCGAUUUUUGAGAAAGCAAUCAUGCUGGGGGUCUGGCUCUCGAAGAUUAGGGGAGCAGUGUCUCUUCAAUUUUUGAGAAAGUAAUCAUGUUGGGAGUCUGGCUCUCGAGAUUCGGAGGGCGGUGCCUCUUCGAUUUUGGAGCAAGCAAUCUUGUUGGGAGUGUUUUCUCGAAUGUGAGUAAAGGUUGGGCAUGUUUGCUAGUCUACCUUGCCACGAAGCACAGAGGUUGACACACAGGGACUUUCCAAUUAUCCAGCAAUGGUACUGUUCCUUUACCCUCUCUUCGAUUUUUAAGAAAGUAGUCAUGUUGGGAGUCUGGCUCUCGAGAUUCGGAGGACGGUGCCUCUUCGAUUUUGGAGCAAGCAAUCUUAUUGGGAGUGUUUUCUCGAAUGUGAGUAAAGGUUGGGCAUGUUUGCUAGUCUACCUUGCCACGAAGCACAGAGGUUGACACACAGGGACUUUCCA